GGGGAUGUUACGGAUUCGACACGCGUAGGUUGCGCAUUGACCGCACUUCGCAGGUUACGGCUGCGUCAUCAACGUUACAGUUAAUUAUAACUGCAAACAAAGAAAAUUCUUACGCUUUAGCUGCCUAAUAGCAGCUUAACGUGAUCCGUCCGGAUUCACCCAAGGUUCGGAGCCGGGUCUCAAAUGAAUUGGGUUACGGUACAGACUGACACCUGAGGAAUGUACAAGAGAUUUGCAGGAUAGUAAAGUUGCGUUAGCCUGGCUUCACGGCGCUGCGAUUUUAUGAACUUCAAAUAGUGAAACUAUGAGUGUAGAAGCUGAUGUGGCAAUACGUGUGGACAGGGGUUCAACCCCCCUCAUCUCCACUU
rnacentral:tmRNA from 1 species